CUGACGCGGAGAAGGGUUUCGUGUGAACAGCCGUUGCACACGAGUCAGUCGAUCCUAAGCCCUAGGGGAAACCCGAUGAAUCGGGCCAGCGGCCCGAGCGGGCGAAAGGGAAUCCGGUCCCUAUUCCGGAACCCGGUAGCGGAACCGUCCUACGUCGGGCCCUCCGUCCUUCGGGGCGGGAAGCUCGUCGGGGUAACCCAAACAGACCCGGAGAAGCCGUCGGGAGGCGAGGGAAGAGUUUUCUUUUCUGUUUGAGCGUUCGGGUUCCCUGGAAUUGCCUAGCGCAGAGAGAGGGAAUGGAGCGCGUAGAGCACCGCAGUUGCGGCGGUGUCCUCGCAUGCCCUUCGGACCUUGAAAAUCCGGGGACGGGCCACGUGGAGGUGUCGCGCCGGUUCGUACCCAUAUCCGCA
rnacentral:rRNA from 1 species